rnacentral:lncRNA from 1 species
GGUCAACACAAUAGGACUGGAAUCAGAAUAACCGACUCCACCCCCUCUGGCUGCUCUAUAUGUGGUUCCAAGUCAAGAUUGUCACAGGUGAGAGGAGAACAUUACAGAAGAAGGGACACGUCUGUCAGUAACUGGUGAUCAUGGGCGGUGAAAAAAGAGCAUCUGUGUCUCUUCUGAUGAUGAUACUAACUGCAAGUGAAAUACCGGUAACAAAGCCACAGACAACAGGUCGUCUUACUGGUUCUACAAAUUUUCAUGAAAUUCUAGAUGUACCCACCACUGCUGUACCAACUACAGAACAUGUGAUUGGACUCAGAGUACGAUUUAUAUCUCAAAGAAAUCUUACAGAAAUUGACAUCAACCAACUUGUGGUACAGACACUUAAAGAGAAUUUCGCCAGAAGUGGACUGUCCUGGAACAUUCAUCUCCAUUUGAGAAACAUUCAGAAGACAAGCCCAUGAGGAACAUUCAGAAAUCCGUGCCAAACCCUUCCUGGAGUGUGCAGGAACUUUCAAACCUGAUCAACUGGAGUAUAAACUAGAGUACAAAUAGGAUCAGACAAAUUCACAGGGCAGCCUUAUCUUUUGAAAAAGAAAAACACACAUGCAUAAAGCACACACAUCAAGUUAGAACUGAAAAGAAGAGGAUGUAAGAUGAAAAGAAGGAGAGAAGUGAUGCUUUACUUUUAUAAUAAACAUCUAGUUUUACCUUCA